UGAAAUCACACUUAAAUUGGUGAUAUGAAUAAAGUGAAAUAAAAAUAAAUAAGUAGUAAUAAUUAGGCCGAAAAGAGAUUCUUUGACAGGAUGUUCUGUGCUAUUAGGCCAAGGAAUGACUGCACCAUACUAGUACGAAGUACUGUCGCUAGGCGGCAGCACAUUUGCACAUUACACCCCGAGCCCUCUUUCAUCCAGGAACUCCAACAGAGGCGUCGGAAAUCCGGGUACAUUUUUUCUACAGGAAAUUCCAAAAAUUUUAAGAUUUACAGCUUGAAGUGGUCCAAAAUAGAAUAAAAAUUCAUGUUGAUUUUAGAAUAAAUUGGUUGUUUGACAGAAUAAUAGAUUUUUUGAAAAAUCAUGUUUUCUGGACAUUUAUGCUUCAAUUGAGGUUGGAAAAAAAUUGUCAACUUCAAGGAAUGUAAUCAUGUUUUCAUAACGCAAUACAAUAGUCUCAAUAUUAUGACUACUGACUUGAGAAGAAUUUAAACAAAGAGAAAAAAGUUCAAGAUAUGCUUGAGGUAUGUGAAGAGAGUUUAAUUCAUUGAAGAAGAUGGAAUACAUUAAAUGAUGUAUUCCUAAAGCUCACAAACAAACAAAAAAAAAAUAUUGAAAUAAAAGUUCAUAUUUUAUUUAAUUAAUUAAAAUGAAGUUGUUUUAUGCUUUUCUGUGUUUCACUGACAUAAAUAAAAUUUAUAAAAGCGAUGGAACGACGAUUGUUAGUUAUAAUAACAAAAAUAUAAAGACUAGUGUACUUAUUAUAAAUUAGCCAACUCCUUCAUCAUCUGUUUCAACCCCUACAAUAUUUCUUAAGGGUUAUAAGGACUGAAAAAACAUUGGGGUAAAAAGCUAACACUUGGCCUUAUAAUAAACUUUCCAUCAU